rnacentral:rRNA from 1 species
UACGUAGGGGGCUAGCGUUGUCCGGAAUCAUUGGGCGUAAAGCGCGUGUAGGCGGUCCGGUAAGUCCGCUGUGCAAGUCGGGGGCUCAACCCUCGGAUGCCGGUGGAUACUGUCGGGCUUGAGUACGGAAGAGGCGAGUGGAAUUCCUGGUGUAGCGGUGAAAUGCGCAGAUAUCAGGAGGAACACCAAUUGCGAAGGCAGCUCGCUGGGACGUUACUGACGCUGAGACGCGAAAGCGUGGGGAGCAAACAGG